AUGUGUAAUAGACAAGGAUUCAAGUCUGGAGAUGGUAACAAAAUUGACGAUCCAUCAAAGAAGAGGCGUAAGAACACGGACACAAGGUGUGGUUGUGAUGCACACAUCUUUGUGAAGUUAUGUGCUAAUGAUACCUACAAGCUAGAAUCAUGGGUCGAGCACCACAGUCAUGGUCUUGUGUCACCUGAUAAGCGUCAUUUGACCAGAUCAAAUCGGCGAGUUAGCGAGAGGGCAAAGAACACAUUGUACACAUGCAGCAAAGCAAGCAUAGGCACCUGCCAGGCAUACAGGCUCCUACACGUCAGCGAGGGUGGAUUUGCGAAUGCUGGAUGCAUGAAAAGGGACUUGCAAAACUACUACCGUGACCUGAGAUUAAAAAUUAGGAAUGCAGAUGCUCAAAUGUUUGUGGCCCAGCUAGCUAGAAAGCAGGAAGUUAAUUCAGCAUUUUUCUAUGAUUUUGUUGUCAGUGCUGAAGGAAAGUUGAUGUAUGUGUUCUGGGCAGAUGCCACAAGCAGGAAGAACUACAAACAUUUCGGUAGUGUGGUGUCCUUUGAUUCUACAUAUACUACUAAUCAGUAUGACAUGAUCUUUGCACCAUUUACAGGAGUUAAUCAUCAUUUACAAAGUGCGUUCUUUGGUGCUGCGUUCUUACUAAAUGAGAAGACCGAGUCAUAUGUCUGGUUGUUUGAGACCUUCCUGAAGGCAAUGGGAGGUGUAGCGCCGACACUC
rnacentral:rRNA from 1 species